rnacentral:rRNA from 1 species
GACGAACGCUGGCGGCGUGCUUAACACAUGCAAGUCGAACGGAUUGCUUGGUGCUUGCACUGAGUGGGUAGUGGCGAACGGGUGAGUAACACGUGAGUAACCUGCCCCCUUCUUUGGGAUAAGCACCUGACAGGGUGUCUAAUACUGAUUAUUCUGCUGGAAUCGCAUGGUUUUGGUUGGAAAGGUUUUUUCUGGUGGGCGAUGUGCUCGCGGCUUAUCAGCUUGUUGGUGGGGUAAUGGCUUACCAAGGCUUUGACGGGUAACCGGCCUGAGAGGGUGACCGGUCACAUUGGGACUGAGAUACGGACCAGACUCCUACGGGAGGCAGCAGUGGGGAAUAUUGGACAAUGGGGGCAACCCUGAUCCAGCCAUGCCGCGUGAGUGAAGUAGGCCUUCGGGUUGUAAAGCUCUUUCGGCCGGGAAGAAAUCGCACGGGCUAAUACCCUGUGUGGAUGACGGUACCGGAAUAAGAAGCACCGGCUAACUACGUGCCAGCAGCCGCGGUAACAC